rnacentral:rRNA from 1 species
AUUGAACGCUGGCGGCAGGCCUAACACAUGCAAGUCGAGCGGAUGAAGGGAGCUUGCUCCUGGAUUCAGCGGCGGACGGGUGAGUAAUGCCUAGGAAUCUGCCUGGUAGUGGGGGAUAACGUCCGGAAACGGGCGCUAAUACCGCAUACGUCCUGAGGGAGAAAGUGGGGGAUCUUCGGACCUCACGCUAUCAGAUGAGCCUAGGUCGGAUUAGCUAGUUGGUGGGGUAAAGGCCUACCAAGGCGACGAUCCGUAACUGGUCUGAGAGGAUGAUCAGUCACACGGGAAGUGAGACACGGUCCAGACUCCUACGGGAGGGAGCAGUGGGGAAUAGUGGACAACGGGGGAAAGCAUGAUCCAGUCAGGCCGCGUGUGUGAAGAAGGCCUUCGGAUUGGAAAGCACUUUAAGUUGGGAGGAAGGGCAGUAAGUUAAUACCUUGCUGUUUUGACGUUACUAACAGAAUAAGCACCGGCUAACUUCGUG